AGAGUUUGAUCCUGGCUCAGGAUGAACGCUAGCUACAGGCUUAACACAUGCAAGUCGAGGGGCAGCAGAUCGAAAGCUUGCUUUUGAUGCUGGCGACCGGCGCACGGGUGAGUAACGCGUAUCCAACCUUCCCUAUAGUAGAGAAUAGCCCGGCGAAAGUCGGAUUAAUGCUCUAUGUUGUAUUUAGAAGACAUCUGAAGAAUACCAAAGGUUUACCGCUAUAGGAUGGGGAUGCGUCUGAUUAGGUAGUAGGCGGGGUAACGGCCCACCUAGCCGACGAUCAGUAGGGGUUCUGAGAGGAAGGUCCCCCACAUUGGAACUGAGACACGGUCCAAACUCCUACGGGAGGCAGCAGUGAGGAAUAUUGGUCAAUGGACGGAAGUCUGAACCAGCCAAGUAGCGUGCAGGAUGACGGCCCUAUGGGUUGUAAACUGCUUUUAUAUAGGGAUAAAGUCGGGGACGUGUCCCCGUUUGUAGGUACUAUAUGAAUAAGGACCGGCUAAUUCCGUGCCAGCAGCCGCGGUAAUACGGAAGGUCCAGGCGUUAUCCGGAUUUAUUGGGUUUAAAGGGAGCGCAGGCUGAUGAUUAAGCGUGACGUGAAAUGUAGCCGCUCAACGGCUGAACUGCGUCGCGAACUGGUUAUCUUGAGUGAGUUCGAUGUUGGCGGAAUUCGUGGUGUAGCGGUGAAAUGCUUAGAUAUCACGAAGAACUCCGAUUGCGAAGGCAGCCAACAAGGCCUUUACUGACGCUAAAGCUCGAAGGUGCGGGUAUCGAACAGGAUUAGAUACCCU
rnacentral:rRNA from 1 species